rnacentral:rRNA from 1 species
AUGAUCUGGACGCUGCUCGGCAAUGAAGAAGCACACUUGACAGACUGGAAAAAAUUGAAGCAAUGUGCGCAAGUUCGCAGUCUAGAGAGCAUUAAGGAUACUCAUACUUUAUCGUUGAGUACUCUUGUCAAUUCCAUGUUUCCUGUGGGAGCUGACCGCUCGGACCCCCUCUGUGAUAUUCUGCAUUCUCCAAGUGAGCAAGGUGCAGAAAAUACGACUGACAAGAGAACAAAUCAACUGGCUGCUCCAUGUGCGGUGCAGGAAAAAACACUGCCAAGAUGCAUGAAACUUGUCACUAAAGGACCUGAUUGUUUGCCAGUUUUCAGCUGA